rnacentral:rRNA from 1 species
UGUCAGCCGCCGCGGUAACACGGGGGGCGCAAGCGUUAUUCGGAAUUAUUGGGCGUAAAGGGCGCGCAGGCGGUCUUGUCCGUCAGGUGUGAAAGCUCGGGGCUCAACCCCGGAAGUGCACUUGAAACAGCAAGACUUGAGGACAGGAGGGGAGCGUGGAAUUCCUGGUGGAGCGGUGAAAUUCGUAGAUAUCAGGAGGAACACCGAUGGCGAAGGCAGCUUUCUGGACAGAUACUGACGCUGAGGCGCGAAGGCGUGGGUAGCGAACGGGAUUAGAUA